AGAAUGUUGGCAGUGGCCAUGGAACAGAGGAGUCAUUGACGUGGCAGCUCAGGACGGGUAUAAAGAGGGCUGCGCCAGGCCAGUCUGGGAGGUGAGGAGGCAGAUCUCAUAAGACAUUAAGGAUGCUGAAGCCUCUUAAGAUGGCAUCUUUAACCAAAAAUAAAGCAAAGGAAGUGAACAACUAUGAACCUUACUAAACUUGUGUAAAGCAGCAGCUUGCCAAAAAAUCAUUUUGAAUUUUCUAGAAGAGGAACACCGAGCCUUUUCUUAGCAAUAAGACAUUAACUUUAUGACUACAUAUUGUAUACAUAAGCAGUGUAACAGAGCAGUUUCUGCUCCAGUGCUCCACAGAUGUAUGUUUGAACCUGUCUAGGU